UACGAGGGGGGCAAGCGUUGUUCGGAAUUAUUGGGCGUAAAGGGUGCGUAGGCGGUCUGAUAAGUCAUCUGUGAAAUCUAUGGGCUCAACCCAUAGUCUGCAGGCGAAACUGUCGGGCUUGAGUAUGGGAGAGGUGAGUGGAAUUUCCGGUGUAGCGGUGAAAUGCGUAGAUAUCGUCUGGAACGCCGAAGGUGAAAACAGCUCGCUGGGGCUGCGCUGACGCUGAGACACGAAAGCCAGGGGAGCGAACGGG
rnacentral:rRNA from 1 species